GAAGUGAAAGGACUGAUUUAUGGGGGUUCCCUCAGAUGUUACGCAGCUGGGGAGCACCACAAAAGCCCUAUGUGGUGUUGAUGUCUGUGUUGGUGUUUGGAAGAAAACCUAAUUAAUCUUGACUAGAAAACUCACCCAAAUACAGCGAUUUUUGAUGGCAUGCUUUUCGAUGGAUUCAGCUAUAUUGAAGCAUGGGGGAAUCCAUAGCCAAUAAAUUAACAAUGCACCAAAUGUGGGAAACCAGCCCAGUUUUGGCCACAGUAACUCUGUGCCUUUGAUAUUGUCACUCUGCCAUGGGAAUGCUGAACUAAUUAGUCUAGCAGCCCCCACAUCUACAGGUACUUGGAAAAUAUCUAAUUGCUUAGAUACUUUUUUUCCUUCUAACAGUGAACAUCCAUGUGUUUUUUCCAGAGCAGCACAACUGGUCUAUACGGAACAUAUGGGGAAGCCAAGCGGGCAAUUGUCUGUGCUGUUUAUUUUUGUUUGCCGGCACUGGAAAACAUCUCUGACCACACACUGAUUGCAUCACUGAAGGCAAAUAUUAGGAUUGGUGAACAAGGAUUAGGUCUCAUACAGAAUGGGCCCUAUCUCCAGAUAACAAGCCUUGUGGAGCUCUGCAGCUAAUGAUGGAAAGCUAAAACCAGCCCAAGUGAAGAUGCUGAGGAUGAAGAUGACACCUGGUCCUGCAGCAAUGAUGAUGUGGCCUUGGAAACUUUUCAGUACAGAUCUUCCCAGUCAUACUGUUGUGAGUUCACUCAUAAUUUACCAUCAACAUCCAAAAUUUGAUGGGCAUCUGAUACAGGCCAGACACUUGGAGCAGGCACAGACACUGUUUGCAAUGCUGUACUUCAUAAUGAUGUUGAUGCACUGUGCAGUCCUAAGUUUGAUGCUGGUGGUGUUAGACCUCCUUCAUACUGCAUGGUGGAAAACAACGAGACCAGUUCCUCUUCCCCAUACCCUUCUGUAUCAGAUACAUCCUACCUGGAAGAAUUUGCCUUUGUUUCAGAAUAGCUCAAAACUUGACUUCUUCAAAACCCAGAUUUAAGUUGUAUCUUGUCCGUUUCAAUACAUGCCUAGACUUCAAAAAAGAUCUAAGUGUCCUAAGAUAUUUGCAAUUAUAUAUUAGCUAUAUAAAGCUGUUUUAGCAAUACCCUCCCCUCAAAGAUGCCUAUCAAUGUUACUCGUGGAGAAGACAUUCAGAAACACUACCUCUGCUAGUCCCAGACAUGCAGCAGUUGUAGGCUCCGAGGUCUAAUAUAUUAAUCUUUCUCUGAAGGUAAAUUUCUUCAUUUACUUGAUACAGGAUGGUACACACAGUUUAUCAAGAACUCUUCCUGAAUACAUGGACAACUAGUGGUGAUUGCAGUAUUUGUCUGCACCACAAUAACCAUUUCUGAUACAUCUAUUUUUUACAUCAACUAAAAUUCACCUUAUUUUCUUACUGCAGUUUUACUU